UUAUCGAUAAGAAGAGAGCGUCUAGGCGAACAAUGUUCUUAAAGUUUGACCUCAAAUCAGGUAGGAGUACCCGCUGAACUUAAGCAUAUCAAUAAGCGGAGGAAAAGAAACCAACCGGGAUUGCCUUAGUAACCGGCGAGUGAAAGCGGCAAAAGCUCAAAUUUGAAAUCUGGUACCUUUGGUGCCCGAGUUGUAAUUUGGAGAGGGCAACUUUGGGACCGUUCCUUGUCUAUGUUCCUUGGAACAGGACGUCAUAGAGGGUGAGAAUCCCGUGUGGCGAGGAGUGCGGUUCUAUGUAAAGUGCCUUCGAAGAGUCGAGUUGUUUGGGAAUGCAGCUCUAAGUGGGUGGUAAAUUCCAUCUAAAGCUAAAUAUUGGCGAGAGACCGAUAGCGAACAAGUACAGUGAUGGAAAGAUGAAAAGAACUUUGAAAAGAGAGUGAAAAAGUACGUGAAAUUGUUGAAAGGGAAGGGCAUUUGAUCAGACAUGGUGUUUUGCGCCCUCUGCUCCUUGUGGGUGGGGGAAUCUCGCAGUUCACUGGGCCAGCAUCAGUUUUGGUGGCAGGAUAAAUCCGUAGGAAUGUAACUUGCUUCGGGAAGUAUUAUAGCCUAUGGGAAUACUGCCAGCUGGGACUGAGGACUGCGACGUAAGUCAAGGAUGCUGGCAUAAAUGGUUAUAGCCGCCCGUCUUGAAACACGGACCAAGGAGUCUAACGUCUAUGCAAGUGUUUGGGUGUAAAACCCAUACGCGUAAUG
rnacentral:rRNA from 1 species